GCCGAUAUGGCUCAGUAGGUAGAGCGACGCACUCGUAAUGCGUAGGCCACCGGUUCGAUCCCGGUUAUCGGCUUCA
rnacentral:tRNA from 6 species